UACGUAGGGUGCGAGCGUUAAUCGGAAUUACUGGGCGUAAAGCGUGCGCAGGCGGUUUUGUAAGACAGAUGUGAAAUCCCCCGGGCUUAACCUGGGAACUGCGUUUGUGACUGCAAGGCUAGAGUACGGCAGAGGGGGUGGGAAUUCCUGGUGUAGCAGUGAAAUGCGUAGAUAUCAGGAGGAACACCGAUGGCGAAGGCAGCCCCCUGGGCCUGUACUGACGCUCAUGCACGAAAGCGUGGGGAGCAAACAGGAUUAGAUACCCGUGUAGU
rnacentral:rRNA from 1 species